UACGUAGGGGGCAAGCGUUAUCCGGAUUUACUGGGUGUAAAGGGAGCGUAGACGGUUCAGCAAGUCUGAAGUGAAAUCCCAAGGCUCAACCAUGGGACUGCUUUGGAAACUGUUGAACUUGAGUGCAGGAGAGGUAAGCGGAAUUCCUAGUGUAGCGGUGAAAUGCGUAGAUAUUAGGAGGAACACCAGUGGCGAAGGCGGCUUACUGGACUGUAACUGACGUUGAGGCUCGAAAGCGUGGGGAGCAAACAGG
rnacentral:misc_RNA from 1 species